UCUACUUUGGCAGAUAAGUGUAAUGGGUUUAGAAUUCAUGUAUGUAAAUAAAUUUUACAAGUAGGA
rnacentral:tRNA from 2 species